UACGUAGGCAGCAAGCGUUGUUCGGAGUUACUGGGCGUAAAGGGUGUGUAGGCGGUUCUUUUAAGUUUGCUGUGAAAUCUCCCGGCUUAACCGGGAGGGUGCGGUGAAUACUGAGGGACUAGAGUACGGGAGAGGGAAAGUGGAAUUCCUGGUGUAGCGGUGAAAUGCGUAGAUAUCAGGAGGAACACCGGUGGUGUAGACGGCUUUCUGGACCGUAACUGACGCUGAGACACGAAAGCGUGGGUAGCAAACAGG
rnacentral:rRNA from 1 species